AUUGAACGCUGGCGGCAGGCCUAACACAUGCAAGUCGAACGAGUGGCGGACGGGUGAGCAAUGUCUGGGAAACUGACUGAGGGAGGGGGAAAAAUACGGGAAACGGUAGCUAAUACCGCACACCAUACGAUGUGUCCAAAUGGGAUUAGCUAGUUGGUGGGGUAACGGCUCACCAAGGAGACGAUCCCUAGCUGGUCUGAGAGGAUGAGCAGCCACACUGGAACUGAGACACGGUCCAGACUCCUACGGGAGGCAGCAGUGGGGAAUAUUCCACAAUGGACGCAAGCCUGACCCAGCCAUGCCGCGUGAGUGAAGAAGGCCUUCGGAUUGUAAAGUACUUUCAGCGGGGAGGCGUUACCCACAGAGGAAGCACCGGCUAACUCCGUGCCAGCAGCCGCGGUAAUAC
rnacentral:rRNA from 1 species